rnacentral:rRNA from 1 species
UCAGAUUGCAGGCUGCAACCCGCCUGCAUGAAGUCGGAAUUGCUAGUAAUCGCGGAUCAGCAUGCCGCGGUGAAUACGUUCCCGGGCCCUUGUACACACCGCCCGUCACACCAUGGGAGCCGGUAAUACCCGAAGUCAGUAGUCCAACCUCGUGAGGACGCUGCCGAAGGUAGGAUUGGCGACUGGGGUGAAGUCGUAACAAGGUACC